rnacentral:siRNA from 1 species
UACUCGACCUCAACACUCCUCUC